GAUGAACGCUGGCGGCGUGCCUAAUACAUGCAAGUCGAGCGAACAGACGAGGAGCUUGCUCCUCUGACGUUAGCGGCGGACGGGUGAGUAACACGUGGAUAACCUACCUAUAAGACUGGGAUAACUUCGGGAAACCGGAGCUAAUACCGGAUAAUAUAUUGAACCGCAUGGUUCAAUAGUGAAAGACGGUUUUGCUGUCACUUAUAGAUGGAUCCGCGCCGCAUUAGCUAGUUGGUAAGGUAACGGCUUACCAAGGCAACGAUGCGUAGCCGACCUGAGAGGGUGAUCGGCCACACUGUAACUGAGACACGGUCCAGACUCCUACGGGAGGCAGCAGUGUGGAAUCUUCCGCAAUGGGCGCAAGCCUGACGCAGCAACGCCGCGUGAGUGAGGAAGGUCUUCGGAUCGUAAAACUCUCUUAUUAGGGAAGAACAAAAGUGUAUGUAACUAUGCACGUCUUGACGGUACCUAAACAGAAAGCCCCGGCUAACUACGUG
rnacentral:rRNA from 1 species